AUUGAACGCUGGCGGCAUGCCUUACACAUGCAAGUCGAACGGUAACAGGUCUUCGGAUGCUGACGAGUGGCGAACGGGUGAGUAAUACAUCGGAACGUGCCCGAGAGUGGGGGAUAACGAAGCGAAAGCUUUGCUAAUACCGCAUACGAUCUCAGGAUGAAAGCAGGGGACCGCAAGGCCUUGCGCUCACGGAGCGGCCGAUGGCAGAUGAGGUAGUUGGUGGGAUAAAAGCUUACCAAGCCGACGAUCUGUAGCUGGUCGGAGAGGACGACCAGCCACACUGGGACUGAGACACGGCCCAGACUCCCACGGGAGGCAGCAGUGGGGAAUUUUGGACAAUGGGCGCAAGCCUGAUCCAGCCAUGCCGCGUGCAGGAUGAAGGCCUUCGGGUUGUAAACUGCUUUUGUACGGAACGAAAAGACUCCUUCUAAUAAAGGGGGUCCAUGACGGUACCGUAAGAAUAAGCACCGGCUAACUACGUGCCAGCCGCCGCCGUAACAC
rnacentral:rRNA from 1 species